UUUCUCAACCCUUUAUUUUCUUCAUUAUAUAUAACCUUCCUUCUAAAACCAAACAUUCCGAUUCUGUACUCAUCUCUCUCAAAUUGCUGGUUUCUUUCUCUACACGCCCGACAUCGCAAAUGGGUAAAACCCUAAUUUCCUCUUUUUUUAUUUUUUCAUUCUUUACAAUGUGCAAACGUAACAGUUACUUUGCUCAAUUUGUAUUAAUUAUCUACUGUUGUGAUGAUGAUUUAGAUUUUGACUUAAGAACCAUGUGAAGAUGCAAUUCUUUUUGUUUUCAUGUUUUAUUAUGUAAAUGCAACAAGAUAUUCAUUGUUAAGUUAUUAAAUCAAAUUUGAUCUAUUAAAUUUAGAUAAGAAUACUGGAAGUGGAAAUCAACAGAAAUUUACUAAACACAGCGGUUACAACAGCAAUGGCGAAUAUUACGAGGCAAGUUUACCGUGCUUUUUCAUUAAGUUUCACAAUAUUUGAAUUAUUUAUCAAUUUCUAUUUUUAAGAAUUCAUUAUGAGUAUUUGAAAUGUUCAAUUUUUGAAUGUUGUUUUGUGACUCACAUAUAUGAUGUCUUAUUCAGCCUUUUCAAAAUCGAGAUUGUUGUUUAGUGAUAUAUAUAUAUAUAUGUGAUGGCUUACUCCUCAAUUUUUUUAAACUAGCAGUGUAGGCCCAUUAAGCCUUUUGACCUUGACAAAUAUGAAAUUAAUGAGUCUCACGUUGGAAAUCUACAUUUGCGUGUUGAGAAAUAUGAAGGAACAACCACUAUCAACCGUAUCUCGAAGGCUAAAAAAAUUGAUGGGAAAAAUUGAUGGUAGAUCUUCAUAAUAUUGAACCCUCUUA
rnacentral:lncRNA from 1 species